rnacentral:rRNA from 1 species
UACAGAGGAGCCAAGCGUUGUCCGGAUUGACUGGGCGUAAAGCGCACGCAGGCGGUCGCGCGCGUGGGGUGUGAAAUCUGGCCGCUUAACGGCCAGGCGCCAUCCCAUACGGCGCGACUGGAGUGAUGCAGAGGUCGAUGGAAUUGCCGGUGUAGUGGUGAAAUGCGUAGAGAUCGGCAGGAACACCCAGGGGGAAACCAGUCGACUGGGCAUCUACUGACGCUGAGGCGCGAAGGCGUGGGGAGCGAACGGG